AGGUGUUCAUGUCAUUCUAUUUACUCAGGCAUUGGGUUUUAUACAUGCUCUGUGGAUCUCUCUCGCUGCAGAUUCCAUGGUCGCAUAGACCCCUAAUCGUGAGCAAAAACAAAUCGGUGAUGAGGGACAUUGGGCCAGGGACAAUUGUCACGGUCCCAUAAUGGUUGAUAAGAAAGUAUCACAUUUGUUUAUAAGCCUCACCCAAACAUAAUUUAAGCUUUCCGAGUAUGUGAUAGUGUACUCUAACACUCUCUAAUCAUAAAUCCAGCAGCAGCUCCACCAGCGGUAACAAAUUUAACCAUUCACAAGGAGAGUGGGCAGCCAAGAUACCAAUAAAGAUGAACUGGCUUGGUUUAGAGAAGCAGUACCACCCCACUACCUCCGAAGUGAAAGCUCCUGUGAUGGAAGAGCCUCCUGGUUUUCCACAGCAGUUUUGGUGGUUUUUGGAACAAAUUUUUCACUAGAAGGCUUUUUAUCCCAGAGCAUUCGACAAUAUCCAACCGCUAUAACAAAGAAGCCCUCAAUGCAUCAUAGAUGUUUUCUUCUCCAAAAGACAAUUAAGCAGGCUAGAGAUGCUGAGAAGUGUUUUUCUUUGACAUAAUAAUAAGAUUGCCCAUAUUUGCCGAGCCAUCGGACGGGAAA